rnacentral:rRNA from 1 species
ACCCGCACAAGCGGUGGAUGAUUGUGGAUUUAAUUCGAUGCAACGCGAAGAACCUUUACCUACCCUUUGACAUGUCCGGAACUUGCCAGAGAUGGCUUUGGUGCCCGAAAGGGAAUCGGAACACAGGUGCUGCAUGGCUGUCGUCAGCUCGUGUCGUGAGAUGUUGGGUUAAGUCCCGCAACGAGCGCAACCCUUAUCAUUAGUUGCUACGCAAGGGCACUCUAAUGAGACUGCCGGUGACAAACCGGAGGAAGGUGGGGAUGACGUCAAGUCCUCAUGGCCCUUAUGGGUAGGGCUUCACACGUCAUACAAUGGUCGGUACAGAGGGUUGCCAAGCCGCGAGGCGGAGCCAAUCCCACAAAGCCGAUCGUAGUCCGGAUUGUUCUCUGCAACUCGAGAGCAUGAAGUCGGAAUCGCUAGUAAUCGCAGGUCAGCAUACUGCGGUGAAUACGUUCCCGGGUCUU